GNUUCGUAGGUGACCUGCGGAAGGAUCAUUACUAGAGCAAAGGAUAGACAGCGCCCGCGGAGCUUGCUCCCGGGGCUACCCUACUCCGGUAGGGUUUAGAGUCGUUGGGCCUCUCGGAGAAGCUCGGUCCUGAACUCCACCCUUGAAUAAACUACCUUUGUUGCUUUGGCGGGCCGCCUCGUGCCAGUGGCUUCGGCUGUUGAGUGCCCGCCAGAGGACCACAACUCUUGUUUUUAGUGAUGUCUGAGUACUAUAUAAUAGUUAAAACUUUCAACAACGGAUCUCUUGGUUCUGGCAUCGAUGAAGAACGCAGCGAAAUGCGAUAAGUAAUGUGAAUUGCAGAAUUCAGUGAAUCAUCGAAUCUUUGAACGCACAUUGCGCCCUCUGGUAUUCCGGGGGGCAUGCCUGUUCGAGCGUCAUUAUAACCACUCAAGCUCUCGCUUGGUAUUGGGGUUCGCGGUUUCGCGGCCCCUAAAAUCAGUGGCGGUGCCUGUCGGCUCUACGCGUAGUAAUACUCCUCGCGAUUGAGUCCGGUAGGUCUACUUGCCAGCAACCCCUAAUUUUUUUAAGGUUGACCUCGGAUCAGGUAGGGAUACCCGCUGAACUUAAGCAUAUCAAUAAGCGGAGGAAAAGAAACCAACAGGGAUUACCUCAGUAACGGCGAGUGAAGCGGUAACAGCUCAAAUUUGAAAGCUGGCUCUUUUAGGGUCCGCGUUGUAAUUUGUAGAAGAUGCUUCGGGUGUGGCCCCGGUCUAAGUUCCUUGGAACAGGACGUCAUAGAGGGUGAGAAUCCCGUAUGUGACUGGGUGCUUUCGCUCAUGUGAAGCUCUUUCGACGAGUCGAGUUGUUUGGGAAUGCAGCCUCAAAAUGGGUGGUAAAUUUCAUCUAA
rnacentral:rRNA from 1 species